GUGAAUCAUCGAAUUUUUGAACGCAAAUUGCGCUUCCUAGCAUUCCGGGGAGUAUGCCUGUUUGAGGGUCAGUAUUAUCAAAAAACUCGGGUUUUUUGCAAAUUGUGACGGGUCCGGAGGUUGGGCAAUCGUAACUUUUUGGGUUUGGGGGCUUAAAAUUGACCUUUUAUGCGCAUUUUUAGUCGUACAUAAAUUUUUGUUUAUUCGUCUAUUCUUAAUGCCAAAAUCUUAUUAGAUGCGUUCACAUCUUGUGGUUUC
rnacentral:misc_RNA from 1 species